rnacentral:rRNA from 1 species
UACCAGCACCCCGAGUGGUCGGGACGUUUUAUUGGGCCUAAAGCAUCCGUAGCCGGUUCUACAAGUCUUCCGUUAAAUCCACCUGCUUACAACAUGGGCUGCGGAAGAUACUAUGGAGCUAGGAGGCGGGAGAGGCAAGCGGUACUCGAUGGGUAGGGGUAAAAUCCGUUGAUCCAUUGAAGACCACCAGUGGCGAAGGCGGCUUGCCAGAACGCGCUCGACGGUGAGGGAUGAAAGCUGGGGGAGCAAACCGG